rnacentral:misc_RNA from 1 species
AAAUGUGAAAGGCAAACCAGCCGCGAGACUGGGACGCAAAACUACAGGGUCUCUGACCGUUGUAUUCUGACGAAUUGCGAUA